AUGGGGGAGCUGGGUGGCCUUGGACACAGUCAGUGGUUUGGGAAGAGAAUUCUGGCCCCACAGGAGGAAUCCCAGUCCCACACAGAAAGAGAGGGUUUCCCUGCCCCUUCUUCAUACAGAGAGCAAGGCAGUCAGCACACAGGGAGGAGCCGUGGGCCCUGUGAUGUGCUUGGAACUGGGGAGACUGGGGCAGGAGGCAGGCAGUCAGGACGGUCCCCAGGGGAAAGGCUGGAGGUGGAACACGUGAGAUUUUCCUUCUCUGCUCCCACUGUCACUGCAGGUUGCGUGGGGGCUGGAAUUUCCCAGCUGGACGCCAGGUCUGGAGCAGCCAGAGCAGGAGACACUGUGGGGCGAGGUGACACGAUUCCAAGAAAAAAAAAAAACAAAAACCAUUUUGAAUCCCAAACUCAGUCUAGGCUUAGGAGUCAGGACUUCGAAGGCAGGUUUUCCUUUAUUUGGGAAGGGGAGGGGGUGGUUCACUAUAGACAACUUUCUUCCUUCUCUUACAGUCUGGAAUCUGCUCACUUGAAAUUUAGGCCCAAUCUGUUGCCUUUUGCACAAAAUUCAGAGCCAACAUGAUAUUUUCUAGACCCUGGCAAUCCACUCCAUUAUUCUUGCCUGGACAGAGGAGUCUGGAGAGCUAUGGUACAUGGGGUCACAAAGAGUUGGACAAGACUUAGCAAAUAAACAACAAAAGAAACCAAGCCAAAUGGCUCCCUGAUGCACCCCUCUGCCAUGCAUCCCCAUGUGUGACUGCAAGAGGGGUCCUUGAGGGGUACCAUCAGCCUGAGACUUCGAGGUGUCUUGACAAGAGGCGUGGGUGUCUUCAGGAACUCACACUCUGGCAUCAGGUGCUGUCAGCGACAAAUUGCUAGAAGCAAAAGGUCAGGGGUGGGAAACGCAGUCACACACAGAAACUCGUCUGGGAGUCAAGUCAGACGUGGAAGGGUGUGUGUGGGGACNNNNNNNNNNNNNNNNNNUGGUGAUGGUUGAAGGGGGACAACGGCCUGGAAGCUGCAGGAAAAGGAUGCAAAAUAAAGGGUCAGCAGUGGGAAGGUGAGACCUUGGCAGCUGCAGGGAACUGGAAAAGAGGCUGAACGAAGCUGUUACUGAGUCCCCGGCCAGUGGAUCCCAGAGACAAAGUGCUGAGGCAAGGAAUAAGGCUUUAUUCAGCGAGCCUGCUGACGGAGAAGAUGACAGACUCAUGUAUCAAGAUAACCAUCCUGUCGGGGUCUGGAUGCCAGGUUCUUUUAUGAAUCAGAGAUCCGGGUGGCAGGGGGAAGGGAAGGGAGGUGAGGAAACAAAAUAAAAAGGCCAUUUAAUCUCCAAGAUAUCUCCUAGAAUGGUAAGCCUCAGGCAGGGGCAUGUAUUAAUUUCUUCCUUCCUCCCAGGUAGACAGGGUCCUGAAUAAAGGCACUUUAACAGUCAGGCAGAGGGGCAGGAUUCUCUGAGGCAGGCCNNNNNNNNNNNNNNNNNNNNNNNNNNNNNNNNNNNNNNNNNNNNNNNNNNNNNNNNNNNNNNNNNNNNNNNNNNNNNNNNNNNNNNNNNNNNNNNNNNNAAAGGCACUUUAACAGUCAGGCAGAGGGGCAGGAUUCUCUGAGGCAGGCCAUUAUAUAUUGGAUUAUAGUAACAAAAAGCAAUGGAAAGGAAGUUGAAGAAACAGCUACAACAUGGAGUCAGAAUCGACUUCUCCCUGCAACAGCCAGGACAAACCUGAACGGUCACGCCACCCUCCUGGACUUGUUUCUGGUGAAGGACUGAAGCAGAGGGUGGCUGGGGCUCCUUUCAGCUGCCCAAGGCUCUCUCAUUCCUUCUCUCAUUAGAAAGGAAUCCUGACAAGAAAGCAAACAAGAGCUUGGGGGUGGAGAACCCUUUUUAAAAUUCAGGCCUCACCCUGGAUCCCGACAGUGGGCUCUCAGCUCCCCAUCCUCUGGGAGAGAGGUGGUGGAAAGUCUUGAUGAGAAUUUUGCCUCUGGUUUGGUUUUACUUCACUAGGCACUGCCUGGAAGGGAGGAGAAACUCAGGAGACGGUGUGUUUUUGGACACGAUUGCUCCUUUCCUGUGACCUGUUUGCACUGGAAGCCCAGAGUUGGGGGUUUAGAUUUGCCGUGGAGGUGACACACGAAUCCGCCCUCUCAGGCCCUCUGGUCGAGCUCUGUCAGUGACUGUGGUCGAGGACAUCCCUGCACUUUUGACUGUCCCUACAAUCUGAGACGUGGACACUCAGAUCGAGUUGUGGCCUCUCCUUGGGACCAGUUAGGCUCCGAGUCAUCUCAGCCCACAUUCUGAGCAGCCUGAUGGCCCUGGCAAGCCUCAGGAUGGGGUCUCACAGGGGCCAGUCCUAAUUUACAGGCACCAAAGAGCUCCUCUCACUUCAAAUAAAGGACCCCAAUUUUCUCCAGAGAGAUGAGCAGUCUGGUUAAAAAAAAAUUUUUUUUUUUUUGCUGGUAAAGAAUAGCACAGCCUAGAACAAAGUUUUAUUUAGGUUAACUCUUAAAAAACAAAACAAAACACCAAAAAGCAAAACACAUUAAAAACUUUAUUGUUAAGUACCACGCAUGUCUAAAUUUGCAUCAGUUUGAAACACUUCUGCUGGCUUUGCAGAACACAAUAGUUGCAAGUUUCUUUAAAUCUUAACAGUCACCUGCUUUAGGUCUUUCCAGGCUCGUCUGUUCCGGCCUCCCCCUCCUACCCGUGGUGGGGUCAGUCUACUCUGCCCCACGCUGACAUCGGGUCACCCCUGGGCCAGUGGGAAUCUGCUUCUAGAGGGGUUGGCCCUGCAGCUAGGGCGGCCUGUACUCCUCGAGGAAGCCCUCUCUUCUUCUUGUUUUCUCUUUGUCCCAUUUUUACUCCCAGCCCAAGUGGCUAACU
ensembl:lncRNA